ACGAACGCUGGCGGCAGGCUUAACACAUGCAAGUCGAACGAAGGCUUCGGCCUUAGUGGCGCACGGGUGAGUAACACGUGGGAAUAUACCUCUCAGUGGGGGAUAACGUCGGGAAACUGACGCUAAUACCGCAUACGCCCUUCGGGGGAAAGAUUUAUCGCUGAGAGAUUAGCCCGCGUCCGAUUAGCUAGUUGGUAAGGUAAUGGCUUACCAAGGCUACGAUCGGUAGCUGGUCUGAGAGGAUGAUCAGCCACACUGGGACUGAGACACGGCCCAGACUCCUACGGGAGGCAGCAGUGGGGAAUAUUGGACAAUGGGGGCAACCCUGAUCCAGCCAUGCCGCGUGAGUGAUGAAGGCCUUAGGGGUGUAAAGUCCUUUCAGCAGGGACGAGCAGAAGACGGUACCUGCAGAAGAAGCAUCGGCUAACUACGU
rnacentral:rRNA from 1 species